rnacentral:rRNA from 1 species
AACGAACGCUGGCGGCAUGCCUAACACAUGCAAGUCGAACGAAACCUUCGGGUCUAGUGGCGCACGGGUGCGUAAAGCGUGGGAACCUGCCCUUAGGUUCGGAAUAACUCCCCGAGAGGGGUGCUAAUACCGGAUACUUUCUUCGGGCCACAGAUUUAUCGCAUUUGGAUGGGCCCGCGUUGGGUUAGCUAGUUGGUAGUGUAAAAGCCUAGCAAGGCGACGCUCCAUAGCUGGUCUGAGAGGAUGGUCAGCCACACUGGGACUGAGACACGGCCGAGACUCCUACGGGAGGAAGCAGUGGGGAAUAUUGGACAAUGGGCGAGAGACUGAUGCAGCCAUGCCGCGUGAGUGAUGAAGGACUUAGGGUUGUAAAGCUCUGUUAACCGGGAUGAUAAUGACAGUACCGAGAGAAUAAGCCCCGGCUAACUACGUG